GGAAGCCAAGAAGAGGCGGUGUACUUGGAAGGAGCUGCAAGUGGUCUGGCUUUCAGUCUCCAACCAUACUGCCUCAAUGAGUGGGGAUCAUCUCCAGGAACCGUACAUGCUCAUAGUCUACAAGAAAUCCAGAUCAGAAAUGCCCCCACCUGGGUUCCAUCCUGGGACCUGCGGUCUUGUGCCCUCCUCGCUCUUCCUCUGCUCAUCUAUUUGAAGGUGUUUGUAGACACCGUAAUCAGCUUUAUUAUCUGCUUUUGCACCAAACAAUAUGCUUCCAACCCGUUUUCAUGACUUCCCAUGUAUUCUACCGUGAACUGUUCCCUGGCUGUGGAGCAGUCAUGGUACAGGGAGCAAUAAUGUAAUUACGCCACAGCAGCUGGACAUUCAGGCCUGCUCCCACUUUUCUG
rnacentral:lncRNA from 1 species